GCAGUCGAGCGGACCGACGGGAGCUUGCUCCCUUAGGUCAGCGGCGGACGGGUGAGUAACACGUGGGUAACCUGCCUGUAAGACUGGGAUAACUCCGGGAAACCGGGGCUAAUACCGGAUGCUUGAUUGAACCGCAUGGUUCAAUCAUGAAAGGCGGCUUCGGCUGCCGUUUACAGAUGGACCCGCGGCGCAUUAGCUAGUUGGUGAGGUAACGGCUCACCAAGGCGACGAUGCGUAGCCGACCUGAGAGGGUGAUCGGCCACACUGGGACUGAGACACGGCCCAGACUCCUACGGGAGGCAGCAGUAGGGAAUCUUCCGCAAUGGACGAAAGUCUGACGGAGCAACGCCGCGUGAGUGAUGAAGGUUUUCGGAUCGUAAAGCUCUGUUGUUAGGGAAGAACAAGUACCGUUCGAAUAGGGCGGUACCUUGACGGUACCUAACCAGAAAGCCACGGCUAACUACGUGCCAGCAGCCGCGGUAAUACGUAGGUGGCAAGCGUUGUCCGGAAUUAUUGGGCGUAAAGCGCGCGCAGGCGGUUUCUUAAGUCUGAUGUGAAAGCCCCCGGCUCAACCGGGGAGGGUCAUUGGAAACUGGGGAACUUGAGUGCAGAAGAGGAGAGUGGAAUUCCACAUGUAGCGGUGAAAU
rnacentral:rRNA from 1 species